rnacentral:misc_RNA from 1 species
CCACACCAUUAAAAAACUUUCCACGUGAACCUGUACUAUUUGUUUUGUGCUCUUUCUGUUUCUGACUGUUGCUGGUUUAUCUGGCGACGGAUGGAAGGGAUCGAGCUGAACGAAGGCGUCUUUUUUCUCAUUGAGUUAGAAGAUGCCGAUGUACUUUUCAAACCCCUUUUACCUAAUUACUGAUCAUACUCUGAGAACGAAAGUUCUUAGUUUUAAUAGACAA